ACGGAAGGCAGCAGUGAGGAAUAUUGGUCAAUGGUCGGAAGCCUGAACCAGCCAUGUCGCGUGCAGGACUACGGCCCUACGGGUCUUAAACUGCUUUUGCAAGGGGAUAAAGUGGGGCACGCGUGCCCCUUUGCCGGUACCUUGCGAAUAAGGAUCGGCUAACUCCGUGCCAGCAGCCGCGGUAAUACGGAGGAUCCGAGCGUUAUCCGGAUUUAUUGGGUUUAAAGGGUGCGUAGGCGGGCUGUUAAGUCAGCGGUGAAACCCCCGGGCUCACCCCGGGGACUGCCAUUGAAACUGGCGGCCUUGAGUACGGUGGGAGUGCGCGGAAUGUGUGGUGUAGCGGUGAAAUGCAUAGAUAUCACACAGAACACCGAUCGCGUAGGCAGCGCACUACGCCGCAACUGACGCUGAGGCACGAAGGCGCGGGGAUCGAACAGGAUUAGAUACCCUGGUA
rnacentral:rRNA from 1 species